AGGAGAAAUAAGAUAAAAUUGUUCCAUGGAGCCAACGGCUUCCGGAGAUCUCUUUUUUAUCCCCUCCCCCUCCAUGGAGCCAUGAGUUCACCUCCAGUUCCGCCGCGACUCAUCGUGGUCGGCAACCACUACUAGGCCCCGGCCGCCCCGAUCCUCCACGAGACAGCAGGUGCUCGCUUCCAAUGCGGCUCCCCUUCCAGUUUCUUGGGCUCGAAUUGGGAUUCCACGAGCGCGCUCGCUUAGCUUUCUAGGGAUUUUGCUAGGGUUCUUCCGUUCAACUCGAAACUUUUUUUUUCUUGCGCGAUUCUUAGUUUCGUUGCGUUGCUCCCCACGGAAUUGGUGUUUUUCUCUGCUUGUUGCGUGGGGGAAUCGGGGUGAAAAGCUGCGUUUUUUGUGCAGUUUCAAGGCGCGGCGACUUUUUGUUCUUCUUCAGUUCUUGAUGGGUUUAGUUUAGGGUUCUUGCUCUGUCUGCGAGCCUUCCAAUUUCAUCGGAUUUGAUCUGGUAGCUUCGCUCUCUUGCUCCAAGGAAUCAAACUCGUAGAUCAAAUCGCAGUUCUAGACCACCUAGAAUUUGUGAAUUUUGUUUGCCAUCUAGCUGCCGGAGAGGCUCCAGAAUCACAAAAUUCUCAGUUUUUGGCACUUUCCACCGGCUUGCCUCCAGUAGCUCCAAAUUUGACCAACUUCUUGCUUUUGGCAUCAUCCCCAACCACAUAACUAUGGCCGCCACUGCCUCAGAGCCGCCCAUGGUGGAGCAAGUGAUCACCGAGUUCUUUGCCAAGAGCCUCCACAUCAUCCUGGAGUCCCGCUCGCCCUACGAAUCAUCACGCAGCUUCACGCGGCCUUCACCGCCAUCUUCGCCGCUCUCUGGCAGCCAGCCACGGGACAGGUGGUUCAACCUUGCCCUCCGGGACUGCCCAGCUGCACUUGAGAACUUUGACCUGUGGAGACAGAGCAAUCUUGAGCCAUUGGUUAUUGAUAUUGUGAUGCUCCGGCGUGACAAUCCCAACACUACCUGUGCUGAGGGUGGCAAGAUCAUAGAGAGGUGGGUGAUACAGUAUGAAACCAGCAAGCCUGGCAGUGGCAAUGGUAAUGGCAGCAAGAACCAUAGCAGGAAGUCUAGGAACAGCCCGGCUGAGGAUCAUAGCUUGUACAGGAGUACAUACAAGGGCUCAACAGUGUUACUUCGGUCAUUGCAUCUGGUUGUCAGGCUCUUGCCAGCCUACAAUCUCUUCAGGGAGUUGAAUUCAUCUGGGAGAAUCCGUCCACUUAACCUGUCACACAAGAUAUCAUCAUUCGUCGAGCCGUUUACUAGGGCAGAGGAUGCAGAGAUGAAGCACUAUGCAUUUGCUCCAAUUGAAACUCUGUUUGGCCGCCUGAGCUUGUCAGUUUCUUAUGUGCCAGUGCUGGAGGUGGUGGCAGCACCAGAGCCAACCACACACAUGUCAACAGAGCUUAUAAUGGAUUAUGUCGGGAGCCCCACAACAGACUUCCUCAGGACGUUCAAUUCCCUGCCUUCAGAUGGCAUUGCACCUGAUUGUGCUGCAAUGACUAGGCGUCACAGUUGGAGUAUUGACCCUGGAGCUAGACCAUCGGUAUCACCAUCUCCUCUUUUGCAUGAUAGUCCUCUAACACGUUUGCAUCCACAUAGCACAAUAUCCUCUGGGAAGAAAAAAAGUACAGGAUUUGAAGACUGCUAUCAGUCACCACUGUUGUCACCAUCGCCAUCCCGUUCCCCUUCUGCUAGCUACCCAAAAAAUUCUUUGUUCCGAUAUGAGAGUGCUCCUGUGGUCAUUCCCACUGGGAGGGAUGGUGGAGGUAGUGGACUGCCUCCUUCUCCAUCUUUCAAGGGUAAACACCAGCUCCCAUCUCAAAACUACAACCUAACCCCAUCGCCUGAUGGAGAUUCAAAUGUAAGGAAGGAUUUGGUCAGGUUUGGUGAAUUUGAGAAUAAUACGGCCAUGCAAAAGGUGCUAUCUUUUGAUAAAUAUGAUUUGGGAUAUUUUCAUGGACUGAAGUUGACUCGGACUGCGAGCAAACUUUUUAUCACGGAUGAACUGGAUGAGCGGGAGUUGGCAUUUGCAUGGGAAGAUAGAGAUAUCAUUAUUGAUCAACUUAACAGGGUUGGUAUCUCGGAUAGGGAGGGCCAAGAGACAAACCAGGACGCUGGAGGCUCGAUGGCAAGGACUCCAGCUGCAGGCAUCGGCGCUCUUGUGCGCAUGCUCAAGACGGCCCCGGGCCUCAGGGCAAGCCGCCCAUCAAUCGAAGCUCCUCCCCCAGUUCCUCAAGAAUCUUCAGUUCAGAGGGUCAUGACCGAGGAACACGGCGAUAUGGCAUCAAGCUCUGCCUUGCUCCAAUCAAAGACGGCAGCGGACGCACUGGAGGAGCUAAAGAAAUACAAGGCUAUCAGAGAAUCGAUACUGGACCGUGCGAAAGCGUUGCCCCGGGAUGAUGGCAAGAUGGGGGAGAAACCCGCCGAUGGAGAUCCUUAGCAAACAUACAGUAUGACGACGAAAAGACUUGUGUACAUAUAUGUAUUAUAAGGUAGCUGACGAUUCCCACCCCCCAUACCUUAGUUGCUAGUAGCUACUAGGGUGCGGCCAAAAUCUAUAUGUAUAAGUUAUAUGACAAUACCCAUCCAUCCAGCUGCCUUGAGAUGAAGGCCCAGCUAUGGAUUUUGUGUAAAGUUGAAAACCGAAAUGCCUAGCUGCUUCGAUCAGAUUGUUUUUGGUGAAUGUUUAUUCUGCCCAUAUGGAGUUGGAUGUUCC
rnacentral:rRNA from 1 species